ensembl:lncRNA
GGGGUGUAGGACCCAGUCAGGUCUUUAUAUAACAAUAUAACAAGUCAUACUGUGGGGUGUUGGACCCAGUCAGGUCUUUAUAUAACAAGUCAUACUGUGGGGUGUUGGACCCAGUCAGGUCUUUAUAUAACAAUAUAACAAGUCACACUGUGGGGUGUUGGACCCAGUCAGGUCUUUAUAUAACAAUAUAACAAGUCAUACUGUGGGGUGUUGGACCCAGUCAGGUCUUUAUAUAACAAGUCAUACUGUGGGGUGUUGGACCCAGUCAGGUCUUUAUAUAACAAGUCAUACUGUAGGGUGUUGGACCCAGUCAUGUCUUUAUAUAACAAGUCAUACUGUGGGGUGUAGGACCCAGUCAGGUCUUUAUAUAACAAUAUAACAAGUCAUACUGUGGGGUGUUGGACCCAGUCAGGUCUUUAUAUAACAAGUCAUACUGUGGGGUGUUG